AUGCGCCAUCGAGACAUCUCGAAAUAACAUAAUCGAACGUAUUAUAAGAUGGCGGCCCAUUAAAGAGUUUAUGUGUGCGUGUAGUUGUUUUGUGCAGUGAUUCUAUAAUUUUUUCUUAUAACAACAAUUUAUAAAACAUAAUCAUGGGUACAUCGGAUUUAGAAUGUAUAGAGUCUAAAAGGGACAUGGUCACUAUAGAUUCUGAAUCGGACAUGUUAGUCGACCAAAGAAAGAAAAAGAAAAGAAAGCAUAAACAUCAUAAGCAUAAGAAAGAUAAAUUAAUUGAAAGAGAAGAUGGAAGAAUAGAACGUCAAGAACGGAAAAGACACAAGAAACAUAAACGACCUAAAAAAGAAAGAGAAGUUGAAAAUGGAUCAUUAGAUGACAAGACGCCACGCGUAAUUCAAAAAGAUUUAGGUGUAAAUGGCAAAGUAAAAAAUUCUUUAUUAGAAGUGGUUUCUACCGAAGAAAGUGAAGAUGAGAAAUUAGUAGACUUAGAUUCAGACGAGGUAGAUUGUACAAUCAUUGAAGACGAUAUUGAUCUUGAAGAAUUAAUGAAACAAAAGGAACGAUUGCAAGCAUGCUUAGUACAAUACCUUUCGGACGAAUCAGAGAAAGAGGAUAAAGAGCCUGAUCAAGAUGAAAUAAAAGCUACUGAAACACCUGAUGUUAUACUUGUAGAGGAUGAUAGUGAAAAUGACAAUAUACCGCCCAAAAAGCGGGCUAGGAGUAAGUCUGGUAGUAGAGAACGCAAAAAAAUUGCGAAACCGGAGAGACGCGUAGUAGUAGAUAUGACUAGGGAUCGUAGGAGUCGAGAGGAACAUAAAGAUAAACGAAGAGAACUAGAAAGGAGACGGGAUGAGAAAGUUCGCACUAAAGAGGAAACUAGGAAAGAAGAUAGUAGAAAAGAUGAUAGACAAGUGCGGAAACCAAGCGAUAGACACAGGGAAGAUUCCCGAAAAGAAGAUAAUAAAAAACGAAUAGAAGAUGAUAAGCGUAAAGAUUCUAUUAAAAGAGAUGAAUCACGUAAAAGAGAACAAGAUAAAAGAGAAGAAGAACGAAGACGAGAAACAGAUCACCAUAAUUCCAGAUCCCGUAAUGAAUAUAAAUCGUUAGACAAGACGGAUAAAUCUAGACGCGAUAGUCGCGAUAGAUUGGAAAAUCGAGACCGACAAAAUAGUCGAGAUCGGCAUAUAAGUCGCGAUAGACAUGUCAGUAAAGAUCGUCAUGUUAGUCGGGAUCGUCAUAUUAGUAGAGAUCGACACAUUAGUCGAGAUCGACAUAUCAGUCGAGACCGGCAUGCUAGUCGGGAUCGUCAUACCAGUAAAGAUCGACUACCAAGUCGUAGUCGAGACAGACCUGCCAGCAGAGACCGACACAGUCGUGAUAAAAGAGAUAGUAGAGAACGUCCUACUAGUCGCGAUCGGCCCAGAGAUGGUAGAAGUAGUCGCGAUCGUAAUGACAUGCGAGAUCGACGAGAUAGUCGAAACCAGGAUCGAAUUAGAGAACGUUCAAGAAGUACAAGAAGAUCUCGUAGUCCUGUUAGAAGUAGAUUGGACAGAGAUCGAAAUGAUCGAUAUAAACGUUCUAGAUCGCUUUCUCGAAGUAGAAGAGAUAGGGACAAACAUACUAGAGAUCAUGAUAAAAGAGAGAAAAAUGGUAAAAGGGAACGUAGUGAUAAAUAUAAAGAUUCUUUAUCGGAAGGACUCAAAAUAGAGCAUUCAGAAACUUCUAGCGAAGAAGAUAUCAAAGACAUCGAUAUUGAAGAAGAAGAAGAUGAGGAAGCUAUUAUUGAACGUAGAAGGAAACAGAGAGAAGAACUUCUAAAAAGGUUAGGAGGACCAAAUGAAGACUCAAAUAUGUCCGCUGAAAUUAAUACUGUUCCUGCAACUCCACCUUCUGAAAGUCAAUCAAAUGUUUCACAAAAGUCAAUAGAAAUAUCGUCUAAUAAUAACGAAUCCACUUCAGAGAGUCAUACCCCACCACUGCCCGAGAAACCAAAAUCGCCACAAGUUAAAAAGAGAAAAUCUAGAUUUGAAGACGCCCCAUCCGAAGAAAUAGAUAAAAAUGAAGAUACAAAACCUACAGAAAAAAUUAAACAAGAAGAGAAACAAAAUGCAAAAAAGUCGAACGAGUGGGACAUGUUCGCUGAAGCGGACAAUAUUGGUGAUUUCAAUAGUCCCACAGUCGAAGGAAAACGGCAAGGUGGACCAGAUAAUCCAAGUUUAACAGACAAUUGGGAUGAUGCGGAAGGAUAUUAUCGAGUACGAGUGGGUGAAACGUUAGAUUCUCGGUAUGUUGUUUAUGGAUAUACUGGUCAGGGUGUAUUUAGUAAUGUUGUAAGGGCUAGAGAUACUGCUAGAGGCAAUUUAGAUGUUGCUGUAAAAAUAAUAAGGAAUAAUGAAAUAAUGCACAAAACUGGCCUUAAAGAAUUAGAAAUUCUUAGAAAAUUGAAUGAUGCAGAUCCAGAAGACAGAUUUCAUUGUUUGCGACUUUUCAGGCAUUUCUUUCAUAAAAAUCAUUUAUGUAUGGUUUUUGAACCUUUAGCUAUGAAUUUAAGAGAAGUUUUAAAAAAAUAUGGAAAAGACGUUGGGUUACAUGUUAAAGCGGUAAGAUCGUAUACGCAGCAGCUUUUCCUUGCUCUUAAAUUAUUAAAACGUGCAAAUAUUCUGCAUGCUGACAUCAAACCGGAUAACAUUCUAGUCAGUGAAAGCAAAUUGGUAUUAAAAUUGUGUGAUUUUGGCUCAGCAUCUCAUGCUCAUGAGAAUGAGAUAACACCAUAUUUGGUAUCAAGAUUUUAUCGAGCACCUGAAAUUAUUCUUGGUAUACCGUAUGAUUUCGGCAUUGACAUGUGGUCUGUGGGAUGCACCAUAUACGAAUUGUACACGGGGAAAAUAAUGUUCUCUGGCAAAACAAACAACCAAAUGUUGAAAUUCUUCAUGGAUUUAAAAGGCAAAAUGCCUAAUAAGCUGAUUAGGAAAGGCUCAUUCAAGGAUCUACAUUUUGACUCUAACUGCAAUUUCCUGUAUCAUGAAGUUGAUAAGGUCACAGAGCGGGAGAAAGUUGUAGUGAUGUCUACGUUACCUGCCACUCGUGAUCUAAACGCAGAAUUAGGUGGAAAUUCUUUGCCACCAGAACAAAGCCGAAAAGUUGGGCAACUGAAGGAUCUUUUGGAACGAACAUUGAUGUUGGAUGCAGGAAAAAGGAUUACUGUGAACCACGCCUUGGCGCACCCAUUUAUACAAGAAAAGAUCUAGGUAACCCUGUCCGGGGUCCUUCCGCAUCGGAGAAUUCAUUGACGUAACUUUUCAAAAAAAUGUUUGAAUCGACACCGCUAAUAAUUCGUUGUAUUUUAUAAAAGCAUUACUAACAUAAUGCGGUGUCUACUUAUAUCGAAUGUCUUGUAUCCGUUCCAGCAGAAAGAGGCGGUGCAAAAGUUUCACAUUUCACUCACUUUACCUGAAUAAAACAGAAGAACAUUUUCAAGGCGUAAAUACGUACAUAAUGAGAGGAACGAAAAAUUAUUUGAAUAACUCUAUGUACUCUAUCAAUCUGAACUGUAUUAUUUAAUUGAUGAUAACUAUUGCAGGUGCAAUAUUUUUAUAUUAAUUAAUAACCACUACAAACGAUGAAUAAAAAUGUCGGAGUUCACCUGAAUUGAUGCAUUUAUCAACAAUUAUAAAAACAACAAUGUUUGUACUUGGCUCGGAACAAUGUAGUGUAUCAAAGGGCGUAAAAAUCUCUUUUUCGUGUAAAUUUCAUUGAGAUGGAAAUCAGUUAGAUUUAGUUUAUUUCUUUUCUUUCUUUGUGCACAGCAACUAUAAAAUAAUAAAUCCAACACGAUGAAAACUAGAAGAAGAGGCUCGAUGAAUAUACGUCAUUAAAUGAUAUUCUUCCGUGGAUGAAAAAGAAAACUGGGAAAAGUGACCGCCUCUUUCAGCAUGAACUGGCCAUCGAUACUUAGCAUAAUGGUGGUACAUAGUAUUUUUCUUUUUAUCAACCUUUUUGAAUAUCAAGAGGCAACUUUCUUUACGAAUAACUCGUAAAUAAAUUAUUAUAUCAUAAAUGGAUAGUAAUGCGUUACAUUCGUGACGAAGUAUACCUGAGUUUGCGAAAUUGUAAAACUUUUACGAAUUCGAUCGCAUAAUUCACGAAUCCAGAACAUUUUUUUGUUCUUUUGUGCCGUCGUGUACGCACGACAGGCAUUAAAGCCUAGUAACAAGGAAACUUGUACUAACAAGAAAGAAACAAAUUGUAUAAUAUGAGUCUUCGAUUCAAAGCAUCGUUAAGUGCAAGUGGACCUUUCGUGGGCUUUUAACGCCGUUCCCGUUGCAAGCCCUCCCUGUGAGGAGGGGAGGCAAUGGAAGAGAUGAUGAAAUCAGUUGGUGGGAAACAUGAUGAUGAUGAUGAAGAAAAUGAGAUUCUCUGGGCAGCAGCUUGACAACUGUAUAAAAAUGAUGUCUAUCGCAAAAAGGAUCGCCAAAUAUUUAAUAUAAAUUUGUGUCAACAGGAAGGUUUGUCAAUAAAAUUUUGCUGAGAUUAACAAAACCGUAAGUAUCCGAACAGGUAAGAUAUACCUUGUAUAAACAAUGAAAAUUAUCAUCAGAUCUUAUUUUUCUUAGAAAUGUGUAUCUAUAAGCAUUUAAAUGCUUUACGUAAGUAUAGGUAACAUUGAAAGAAACAUGAUACUAAUAUUUGUGGCUUUCAGUUUUCAGAUUGCUAAAAAAAAUCCUCGAAAUUUCAGUACAACAAAUGAGAUAUCUAUAUAAUAUAAAGAAGCAUAUUUAACUAUAAAAAUUAAUUACACAUUUGUAUAAUGGCACAAUUAAA